CAGUCGCCACGGGAAUACAGAGGGUGCAAGCGUUAAUCGGAAUUACUGGGCGUAAAGCGCGCGUAGGUGGUUUGUUAAGUUGGAUGUGAAAUCCCCGGGCUCAACCUGGGAACUGCAUUCAAAACUGACUGACUAGAGUAUGGUAGAGGGUGGUGGAAUUUCCUGUGUAGCGGUGAAAUGCGUAGAUAUAGGAAGGAACACCAGUGGCGAAGGCGACCACCUGGACUAAUACUGACACUGAGGUGCGAAAGCGUGGGGAGCAAACAGGAUUAGAUACCCCCGUAGUCCCUGUCUCUUAUAC
rnacentral:rRNA from 1 species